AAAACAGGGGAGCUUGUAAGCAGGCUGAGAGGAAGUUAUCAACUUCGACCCUUUAACCUGAUACGGGUAAUGCCGGCGUAGGAAGUCCUAUU
rnacentral:ncRNA from 1 species